GUGUGGUUUUAACUCCUCUUCUGGCUGGUAGCUAAGCAGAUUAUUGAUUGCUUGCCAUUCUUCUUUUGUUAGAUUUUCUUCCUCAAACUCUGUUCCCUCAGACACACCAUCCUCAGAUUCGUCAACAGUGUCCGUGCUCCUAAUAUAGUACAUAAAAUAGAUCAGAAUGAUAGAACUAAACUAAAAAUACCAAAAUAAUUGCACAUACCUCAUACGUUAAA
rnacentral:lncRNA from 1 species